rnacentral:rRNA from 1 species
AGAGUUUGAUCCUGGCUCAGGACGAACGCUGGCGGCGCGCCUAACACAUGCAAGUCGAACGAGAGAUGAGGAGCUUGCUCUUCAAAUCGAGUGGCGAACGGGUGAGUAACGCGUGAGGAACCUGCCUCAAAGAGGGGGACAACAGUUGGAAACGACUGCUAAUACCGCAUAAGCCCACGGCUCGGCAUCGAGCAGAGGGAAAAGGAGUGAUCCGCUUUGAGAUGGCCUCGCGUCCGAUUAGCUAGUUGGUGAGGUAACGGCCCACCAAGGCGACGAUCGGUAGCCGGACUGAGAGGUUGAACGGCCACAUUGGGACUGAGACACGGCCCAGACUCCUACGGGAGGCAGCAGUGGGGAAUAUUGCACAAUGGGGGAAACCCUGAUGCAGCGACGCCGCGUGGAGGAAGAAGGUCUUCGGAUUGUAAACUCCUGUUGUUGAGGAAGAUAAUGACGGUACUCAACAAGGAAGUGACGGCUAACUACGUGCCAGCAGCCGCGGU